GUUGACUGUCUAUUCUCCAGCUGUCAUCUUUCAGGUGCUUUUUAUAGCCACCUGUAGCUCAGGCUAAACCAUCCUUGAAUUGGCACAUGGCUGUUCCUGCAGGGACAACACAAAUGUGGAAGCAGAGUUCUUUUACAGAAGAGGAACUCCAGGAGUGGAUGGACAUCAUUUUCACCAGUGUUGCAUCUUAGAUAUCAGUGAACACUUGGAAGAGCAUCUUUGUCAUGGCUCUGCACACUCAUGCUGUGUUGCUUAGUGCAGAGGAGCUGUUUUAUCUCUUAUGUUUGAAUCUUCUCAAAAUGUGCUGUACAAAGCCAGUGCAUUUCCUGCCUUUGAGGAGAAGGGCUAUUGGACUCCACACUGGAGGUUUUCCUGAAGUUCAUGUUCAUUCCAUUCUUUUCACUGGACUUUUAUCUGUGUAUUUGGGUGCACUGAAGCACAUGUGCUGCAAAGACGGAAUGUGCUCCCACUUCUUUGAUUCCCCCUGAUCAUGCUGGAGCUGAGAGCUGUGUAAAGUGGCAGCAGAUUUUGAUUUCCCACUGCCCUUGUCAGUCUGGAUGUACAGUAAAAUAACAGCCAAGCUGUGUAUCUCUGGUCUCCCACUGUAGCUCCUGCUGAGAUAAAGAAAAGGGACUACUUCAGCAACUACACUGGAAGUCAUCUCAAAAAUGAGUAACAUCUCCACAGCUCCCACCCCCAGAGGCUCCAUAUGGACCCAUCCAGCUGAGCAUCUGUGGAGUUUUGGCUCCAGUUCAAGAGGCAGAACUGCUAUUCAUAUGUGUGUUUCUGGAUCUCCAAUUCUGCCACCUCCCCCCAUGCCCAUAAGCCAUCCCAGCAUCCAUGUCCAUGAAGUUUUAACACGGGCUUGCUGCAGAUGAAAGAUGGAUAUCACCUCCAGUAGGUCAAUAUAAUCCCCUAAAAAAAUUCCAAUGAUAUUGGCAAGAAAGCCCCCAG
rnacentral:lncRNA from 12 species